AGCAGUAGCCACGGUAAUACGUAGGUGGCAAGCGUUGUCCGGAAUUAUUGGGCGUAAAGGGCACGCAGGCGGUUUCUUAAGUCUGAUGUGAAAGCCCCCGGCUCAACCGGGGAGGGUCAUUGGAAACUGGGAAACUUGAGUGCAGAAGAGGAGAGUGGAAUUCCUAGUGUAGCGGUGAAAUGCGUAGAGAUUAGGAGGAACACCAGUGGCGAAGGCGGCUUUUUGGCCUGUAACUGACACUGAGGCGCGAAAGCGUGGGGAGCAAACAGGAUUAGAGACCCCGGUAGUCCCUGUCUCUUAUAA
rnacentral:rRNA from 1 species